GCUCAUCUCGAACUUAUCUUGUAUAAGUCAAACUCUUGACAAAGAUACUCAUUAGCAGUAUUGAAGAUAAUAUCAUCCACAUAAAUUUGUACCACUAAUAGAUCAUCAAUUUUUUUUAAGAAUAGUAUUUUAUCAAUAUUUUUUUUAGUAAAUUUAUUAUCUAAUAAGAAUUUACUUAAUCUUUCAUACCAUGUACAUGGAGCUUGUGUUAAUCUAUAUAG
rnacentral:lncRNA from 1 species